AGGGAAGAGGGCACAGCUCAAAUUUGAAAUCUGGCUCUUUCAGAGUCCGAGUUGUAAUUUGUAGAUCGUGUUUCGGAUGCGGUGAUGGCUCAAGUAUUUUGGAAUGAGACAUCAUAGAGGGUGACAAUCCCGUCUUAGCCGACUCACCAAAUUCGUGUGAAGCACUUUCGACGAGUCGAGUUGUUUGGGAAUGCAGCUCAAAAUGGGUGGUAAAUUUCAUCUAAAGCUAAAUAUCAGCCAGAGACCGAUAGCGCACAAGUAGAGUGAUCGAAAGAUGAAAAGCACUUUGAAAAGAGAGUAAAAAAGCACGUGAAACUGUUUGGAGGGAAGCGCUUGCAACCAGACUUGCUCGCAGUGUUCAGCCUCCUGACAAGGUGGUGCACUCUCUGCGUAGCGGGCCAACAUCAGUUUCGACGGCCGGACAAAGACCUAGAAAACGUAGCUUUUCUUCGGGAAAGUGUUAUAGCUUUGGGUGUAAUGCGGUCAGUUGGGACUGAGGAACUGCGCUUUAUGCUAGGAUGUUGGCGUAAUGGUUGUCAGCGACCCGUCUUGAAACACGGACCAAGGAGUCGAAAAAUGGCGCGAGCGUUAGGGUGUUAAACCCUUGCGCGAAAUGAAAGUGAACGUAGGUGGGAGCUUCCCAGUGAAGCGCACCAUCGACCGAUCUGAGUUCGCGAGGAUUUGAGUAUGAGUGCCAUUUUUCGGACCCGAAAGGUAAAGCUAUUUUAUGCCCCAAAUCUUACGAAAUAUAUACUAACAUCUGUAUAGAAGGUGAACUAUUGCUGACUAGGGUGAAGCCAGAGGAAACUCUGGUGGAGGCUCGCAGCGGUUCUGACGUGCAAAUCGAUCGUCAAAGCUGGCAAUAGGGGCGAAAGACUAAUCGAACCUUCUAGUAGCUGGUUCCUGUCGAAGUUUCCCUCAGGAUAGCAGCAACGAAUAGAACAGUCUCAUGAGGUAGAGCAACGAUUAGAGGCCUUGGGGUUGAAACAACCUUAACCUAUUCUCGAACUCCGAAUAUGUGAGAAGUCCUUGUUACUUAAUUGAACGUGGACAUUGGAGAUCGUGCUGGCG
rnacentral:rRNA from 1 species